UUUUGAGUUAAAACAUCCCCUUAUCCCUGGGUGCAUCAUUCCUGACAUGUAGCAUUGUUAAUGAGAGUGUGAAUACCUUCAGACUUGUCACGCGACCUCUGAAAGUUGAUGGAGGUCAUUAGAGCACUGGUGAGCCAUCUUUAUUUCUGUGAAGACAUGGAAUUCCACGAAGACAGAACCCAGACAUUAAAUGCUAUGUUCCUCCUUUUCUACUCUUUUGCAGGCUUUGGAGCCAGAAGCAGAGGACUGGGUUGCCUGCUCACCUGCGCUGAGCUAUCUUCUCCACGUGAACUCUCACCGUGUGCUCACACUCGACAUGGGUCGGGAAAAAUUCCAAGAAGUCAGGGGAGCCGAGGGCAUACGAAAUGGAGAGAAUCCUGAAGGAAACCUCUUCUAACAUCAUCAGAUUAGAAAAAACUGGGGCCAGUGGGGAGAUGAGCUACCAGAGGCCACAUAACAAGUGAAGGGUCAAAGUGAGAGCAGAAAUCCUCUUCUUCUAACUCGGGAUUCAAGGAAUUUCCAGCCACUUUGCAAAAGCAGAGCGAAGCAGGUCUCAGAGCUUAGUGACCGUUCCAAAGUGGCAGCCCUGUCCUCCUGGUCUCCCACUCCUUGCCAGGCCAGCGGGGGCUUCAAGUAGAUUUGCUUCCAGGAGAAAAGCCCCACGCCCGAGUCCAGGAGAAGUCACGAGGGAAGCAAUUAAAAUCACCUGGGUUCUGCCUGGGCCUUCCACGCCCAGGCAGAGGUGCCUGAUUUCACAGGAGGCCCAGCUCACCUGCAACUGCGCCUUCUCGCUGCCUCCUAGUAAUUAGCUCCUGGGAGACCCGCAUCCUAUUAGGCAAACCCUAGCCUUAAACAACCCCUGUAAAGACUCUCCCAGGCUUCCAGUGCAGUUUUGUCAACUUUUAUUAAGAACUGUCUCCCUCAGGCAGCUCAUUUUUCCCUGGUCCCCUGAGUGGCCCCAUGCAGGCAAGCUUCAUCAUCAAUGAAUUCUGCACCCAUCAACAAUUUUGUGCCAAUGACAAAAACCUAAAUGCAUCUGAUGUGCUGAGGACAUGGAAGCGGCAGAGCAGCUUGAGAAAGGGCAGCAUCUCCAGCAGCUGUUACAGAAAUAGCACAGCCAAUUAAGAUUCCAGCUGCAAAGAGACGGAGAUGCAAUCUGGAGCAAUAAUACCUCUGUGCUGUGCAUUUGAAGGAAAACAGAUUUGCCUUUUACUCCCAGAGUUGGUGACAAGGAUUCAGAGCAUGGCUGACCAGAUGGCAACCCCAUAAGUCUCUCUCCUCUCUGGUACGUUCUAGUUGAAUCCUCCCGCACUCUACAUCAUGGCUCAGACUUCCCAAGUGGCUUUUGGUUCCUCUGCUUUUUAGGCUGGUCUUCUCCAGUUGAGGUCAAAGGUCAUUCCAGAAAUAGUUCUCAGAAGAAGAAUUAGAUUUCAUAAAGAGAAAAAACUAUAGGAGAAGUUGCAUGCAUGGAUAUAUCUAGUGCGUGAAUAUGGGAAAUAAUUCAGUGAAUAGGAACAAAUCGCCAGCGAGGAAGCCAGCACCAAUAUUUCCCUUUUUCCUUUGUUGUGGAUGGAAAGCAAGGCUGCACACAUUCCCAGGAGUCUGGCAAACUUUGGAAAGGGAACACGUCAUCCUUGUGUUGAGGACUGAGUGUGGGCCAACCCCCAGUGCAUAAAGCCCUAUUUCAUAUUAGAUCCAGAAGCAGUUUACAAUUCAGUUCAAGACCUCAUUUGUGGGACAGUAAACAAAAUUUUGAUUGUCCUCACAAAAUGCUGCUAUCAGGUUUUGCCCGUCUCUGUAAAUGGCAGCAUAUUCCACCAAGCUGCUUAAAAUACAAACCUAAAUUUUGAUUCUUCCUUUUUUGAAUUCCUCAGUAAGUCCUGGUCAUUUUAUUCCCAAAACAUAUUUUCAGUUGUCUCGUUCCCUUUAUUUCCAUUGGCUCCACCUCAGCUCAGGCUGACAUCAUUUCUGCCCUGGACAGUCACAAAGCUCCUGACACUUCUUAGCCUCUUGGUUACCACAGCUGAUACUAUCACUCUUGUCCCACACUGUCUCCUCACCAUCCAUCCCAAAUACAUACCUCGCACAUAAGUCAAAUCAAGCCCUUCCCUGUCUGAAAACAUUUUAGCAGCUUCCCAUUAUCUUUAGAAUAAAAUCCAAACACCCAAUCAUGAACCUCAAAGCCC
ensembl:lncRNA